GUCCUUCUGCGUGGCUGGGGCGGGGCGGCUUUAGCUGGCGACGUGUGCUGUCAUUGGCCCCCGGGAUCUGGGCGGCUCCUUCCGUUAGAGACCUCCCCCCGCCGGUGGGGGAGACAAAGAGCGGCCCAUCAUGGCCCCCGGAGUCUGACCUUACAGUUUCUGCGAAAUCUUUUCUUCUUGGCAGAAGUUACAUCUUCAGGUCUUGCUAAGAGUUGAUGUCUGACAUUCACACUUAUAUUCUGUCUUGACAAAUAGCCUGAAGCAGAUGUUGGCAAACUGGCAAGUGGCCUUGAACAUGAGAUCCAGGAAUUUGAGUCCAAUCCAGGAAACAGGGAGGCCUAGUGAAGAAUUUUAAGGAGAAGAUUAGACCUUCUGUUUGCUUUGGUGCACCGAUUAGAUCCCUGGUCAGGGAACUAAGAUCAUAUAAGCCAAGAGUUAUAGACAAAAAACAAAAAAUUUGAAAUCAGUAAAUGACUUUUUAAAAAGACGGCUCUGCCCCAGCUCUCCCUCCCUGUGUCCACAAGCGUGAUCUCUGCAUCUGUGCUCCUGUUCCUGCUUGUCCUAUUUGCGGCAUGUGGGAUCUAGUUCCCCAACAGGAAUCAAAUCCGGGCGCCCUGGAACAGAAGCGUGGAGUCUUAGCCAUUGGACCACCUGGGAAGUCCCAGGCAAAGCGUUUUAAAAAGCCAGGUACUUCAGAGAAGAGCUGAAGCAGAGGAUGUGAGGAAGGCCCGUCUCAGUCCUGGGAAGGCCCCGAGGGGUCCUGCUCGGUUACAGUGAACUGGAUCGCACCCUGCCUGGCAGUAGAAAAGAGUAGCUCCAAGGGUCUGAAGGCAAGGAAAGGAUUGUAAAGGUGGAGGUGAGUGGAGCGAACGGAUUUUGAACAAAGAACGCAUUGUUGGAGGCAAGGUCGCACUCUUCCCAGAGAUGGAAGGGGUCCAGGAGUCAAGAUUACCCCUAGUGGCGACCAGAAAACACCAGGGGGGCUGAUGCAAGAUCAUAGUCCGGGGAAGUCAGAAGUGUCCUUAGGUUAGGUAUUAUGUGUUGGUCUUCUGCCACGGGCCCAAGACGACCGAUUCCAUCGGAGGCCUGCGGUUUCCUUCUUCACAAAAGAAAAAACAAUGACGGUGGGGCAGUCCCACUUCUGGGGAUUUUCCUUGAGGACUAAUUCCCACAGGUUCCAGAGGAAACAUGCCUUGUUGAUGUUCAUCCAGCCGCGUUUGGGAGCGUAGAAACGACCUGCAAGCAAAGUGCAGGGGCCGGGUUGGCGCUCCCUGUUCAUGCAUCACGGCGCCUCUGAAACUUCCUGUUAGGUGUACGUGGGUGCAGUCAGGGACCCUCCGGGGACAGCUUUACAGCUUUUCAAGAGCUUCUGGUAAAUUAACUAAUGUUGCUUAUUUCUGGAUAAUGCAAUCUGAAGUGUUUUAAAAGUUUUGCUUCCUAGCGUUUUAAAUAAUCAUUGACGUUGUAAACCAUUAUCACGUAUUAAAGAGUUUUUAUUGCAAAC
ensembl:lncRNA